UUGUGUAUUACAUCUAGAGGGCAUAAUUGAUAUAGAAUUUUGAUUAAUUCUGGCAGUUUCUGGUAGUAAAAGGAAGGCACAGAGCUUCAAGGAUGAGGAGUUUUUCAUAAGCUCAGUUCCAACAAAUCAACAUUUUGAAGCAGGCCUUUCAGUCAGAARUAAUCAAGGCUUUGCAUCCAACAGGUUGGAGAAUGCUGUUCUUGACCUAGCUGCAGAUGAUAGUGGGGGAUUACAAAAACAGAAGUCUUCAUAUCAUUGGGAUAAGAGGAGUAAAAAGUAUGUCAAGUUGAACAACGGUGACCGUGUAACAGCUAGUGGGAAGGUA